rnacentral:rRNA from 1 species
GACGAACGCUGGCGGCGUGCCUAAUACAUGCAAGUAGAGCGCUGAAGGAGGAGCUUGCUUCUCUGGAUGAGUUGCGAACGGGUGAGUAACGCGUAGGUAACCUGCCUCGUAGCGGGGGAUAACUAUUGGAAACGAUAGCUAAUACCGCAUAAGAGUAGAUGUUGCAUGACAUUUGCUUAAAAGGUGCAAUUGCAUCACUACCAGAUGGACCUGCGUUGUAUUUGCUAGUUGGUGGGGUAACGGCUCACCAAGGCGACGAUACAUAGCCGGCCUGAGAGGGGGAUCGGCCAACAUGGGAAUGGGACAAGGCCCAGAACCCUACGGGAGGCAGCAGUAGGGGAUCCUCGGCAAUGGACGGAAGGCUGACCGAGCAACGCCGCGUGAGUGAAGAAGGUUCUCGGGUCGGAAAGCUCUGUUGUAAGAGAAGAACGAGUGUGAGAGUGGAAAGUUCACACUGUGACGGUAUCUUACCAGAAAGGGACGGCUAACUACGUG